rnacentral:rRNA from 1 species
UACGGAGGGUGCAAGCGUUAUCCGGAUUCACUGGGUUUAAAGGGUGCGUAGGCGGUCCUAUAAGUCAGUGGUGAAAUCUCGCAGCUCAACUGUGAGGGUGCCAUUGAUACUGUAGGACUUGAGUGAAUUUGAGGUAGGCGGAAUUGACGGUGUAGCGGUGAAAUGCUUAGAUAUCGUCAAGAACACCGAUAGUGAAGACAGCUUACCAAGCUUCAACUGACGCUGAGGCACGAAAGUGUGGGGAUCAAACAGG